UACGUAGGUGACCAGCGUUGUCCGGAUUUACUGGGCGUAAAGAGCGCGCAGGCGGUCGUUCAAGUCGAGUGUGAAAGCUCCCGGCUCAACUGGGAGAGGUCCGCGGAAACGGUCGGGCUGGAGCAAGGUAGGGGGUCGUGGAAUUCCCGGUGUAGUGGUGGAAUGCGUAGAGAUCGGGAGGAACACCAGUGGCGAAGGCGGCGACCUGGACCUGUGCUGACGCUGAGGCGCGAAAGCGUGGGGAGCGAUCCGG
rnacentral:rRNA from 1 species